GCUUACCCACACCGGCCUGAGUACGCCUGAUCUCGUCUGAUCUCGGAAGCUAAGCAGGGUCGGCCUGGUUAGUACUUGGAUGGGAGACCGCCUGGGAAUACCAGUGCUGUAAGCU
rnacentral:rRNA from 1 species